UGGGGAGUGGCCAAGUGGUAAGGCACUGGUUUUUGGUACCAGUAUUCGGGGGUUCGAAUCCCUCCUCCCCAGCCA
rnacentral:tRNA from 1 species